GACGAACGCUGGCGGCGUGCUUAACACAUGCAAGUCGAGCGGUAAGGCCCUUCGGGGUACACGAGCGGCGAACGGGUGAGUAACACGUGGGUGAUCUGCCUCGCACUCUGGGAUAAGCCUGGGAAACUGGGUCUAAUACCGGAUAUGACCACGGAUCGCAUGGUUUGUGGUGGAAAGAUUUAUCGGUGCGAGAUGGGCCCGCGGCCUAUCAGCUUGUUGGUGGGGUAAUGGCCUACCAAGGCGACGACGGGUAGCCGACCUGAGAGGGUGACCGGCCACACUGGGACUGAGACACGGCCCAGACUCCUACGGGAGGCAGCAGUGGGGAAUAUUGCACAAUGGGCGAAAGCCUGAUGCAGCGACGCCGCGUGAGGGAUGACGGCCUUCGGGUUGUAAACCUCUUUCGACAGGGACGAAGCGCAAGUGACGGUACCUGUAGAAGAAGCACCGGCCAACUACGUG
rnacentral:rRNA from 1 species